UGCAGGUGUGCUUUCAUUGGUUGACUUGACCAUUCGGUGACAUCCAGGACAGAUGGUCCUGGUGUUCUUGGAUCUUGCUUUCAUCUUCUCAGAGCAGUUACAGGAAUAAGAACAUGGCAGGGCUGAAGACAAGAAUCGCAACAAGAACAUGGCGGAGCUAAAGACAAAGUGAAGACAUGUAAAACCUUGGCGAAUCUACAGCCUUGCAUUGAUCAAGUGGGACUGAGACAGAUGUGUGAACAAGAGGUCACACACAAGCAUUGCUAUGAUGGCGAUGCUGGAUUGAACAGCAAAGACGAUCUGCUGAGGAAGGCGCUGCAUCUGCCAGUCUGACCUUGGAGUGCAGCUGUGAAGCCCUUUGGCCCUGAUGAUCAAGCCACCCAGCAGCUGUGGCAUCCAGCCUGUGUUGAAACAUCCUUGAGAAAGACAGAGCCCCAAACUGCUCCUAAUGGGUGUGCCAUCAGUAUGUGUGAAUGUUUAACGGGGGUAGCCCCAGCCUCGUGUGUGUGUGUGUGUGUGUGUGUGUGUGUGUGAGUGAGAAUGUGGCAUGUAGAAAUGUGAAUGCAUUAUCAUGAAUAUCAAGAACUUUAAGUGCUUUUGCAAAAUUGUGGCAAUAAACUAUACAAUAAAUUCUGUACCUUG